rnacentral:rRNA from 1 species
UACGUAGGGGGCAAGCGUUGUCCGGAAUCAUUGGGCGUAAAGAGCGUGUAGGCGGCUUGGUAGGUCCGCUGUGAAAACUCGAGGCUCAACCUCGAGAUGUCGGCGGAAACCACUUGGCUAGAGUCCGGAAGAGGAGAGUGGAAUUCCUGGUGUAGCGGUGAAAUGCGCAGAUAUCAGGAAGAACACCAAUGGCGAAGGCAGCUCUCUGGGACGGUACUGACGCUGAGACGCGAAAGCGUGGGGAGCGAACAGG